CACGUCUCCUGAAGGAAAAGGUCAGGAAGAAAGAAUGUGUUCCCAGAACUCAAGCGAGCCCCAGGGAGGGCAGGGUCACCAAACUAGAAAAACAAAUCAGCCUGAAAUGCCAGGGACACCUGUGAGGGUCAGCGGGACCGUCAGAACUCGAACAAGUGGCUCCAGGCACACCUGCUCCCGGGCAUGACUACAAGUGUCCUGUGUGGGGGGCAGGCCGUCCCCCAUGGUCAGCAGGCAGAAGGCAGCUCGUGUAGCCCUCUGAUGGAACUUGGCUUCUCCUGCAGAAAAGAAGAUUCUCGAUAUACUCAUGGCAAAUUAGCACGAGAGUGACUGGUCAGUAAUACCAACAUAGCAUACAUUUUUUUAGGAAAGACUCAACUGUGUAUGAGAUUAUGUAUGUUCAUAAAAUGAUGCGUGCGUGUGUGUAGAGACCAGACAGAAAGUCGUAGCUAAAAUAAAGAUGUGAGCAAACAGGAGCAGGGUCGCUCUUCCCGCAACCACCUCGCCCGAUCCCCUCCUCCCUGCCUCCCUGAAGCCCCGCGUCAUUGGCUUCCUAUCACUGACUUUCCAGCUCGUCAGCGUCCUGGUAAACGUACAAGAACUGAUCCUCUAAGCCCAGGUCUGGCGAGACUUUUGGUUGAUAUUUUCAUGUUAUAACAGCGGGUGGCAAGCUUCUUCUGUAAAGGGCCAGACCGUAAAUAUUCUAGGUUUUGCAGGGCACACGGUCCCAGUCACCCGCCAACAGCCACAGACACCAUGCAGGUGUUCCAGUAAAACCUCAGAAGCAAUUCCGGGAAGACAGUGGAGAAACAAUGAAGACGUGGGCAGGACCUUCACGCCUUUGUGCUGAGUUGCACCUGACCUCUCUGCUCAGGCAGACACUUGUUUUCAAAUACAAAAUAAGUGAAUAAAUAAAACGCAUGAAUGUCCCAUA
rnacentral:lncRNA from 1 species